CCUGCCCUUUGUACACACCGCCCGUCACUCCUACCGAUUGAAUGGUCCGAUGAGGUGUUCGGAUCGCUGCGACACGGGCGUUUUGCCGCCCGCGACUCUGAGAGAAGUACAUUGAACCUUAUGAUUUAGAGAAAGGAGAAGUCAUAACAAGGUUUUCAUAGGUGAACCUGCGGAAGGAUCAUUGUCGAGACAAAAAUUAUAUCGAGCGAUUCGAAGAACCCAUGAAAUAAGCGGCGGCGGCCGUCGCCGCGAAGUGGCCGUCUCCAUCGACUCCCCCCACCCACCCAGUCUGGAGGGGGGGUCGCGAUGAGGGAAGAGGCUAAAACCCCAGACCGGCGCAGACUGGCGCCAAGGGAGCUAUCGAAGAACACGAGCCCGGCAUCGGGUCCUCGUGGCGUAGAGCGGUGCUGCGCACCGCACGUACUGACACGACUCUCAACAAUUAUAUCUCGGCUCUCUCAUCGAUGAAGAGCGCAGCGAAAUACGAUACGUGGUGUGAAUUGCAGAAUCCCGCGAACCAUCGAGUCCUUGAACGCAAGUUGCGCCCGAGGCCAAUCGGCCGAGGGCACGUCCGCUGGGAGUUAAGCGUUGCGCCGCUCCGUGUCGAGUCCCCACCAUCCUGCCGCAGUGGGAGUGUCGGGCAAGGCUCGNAUGUGUAGAGUGGCUCAUAGUGCCCGUCGGUGCGGCGGGCUGAAUAGCAUGUUAUCGUCUCAUUGGCCACAAACAACGAGGGGUGGAUGAAAGCUGCCGCGGGCGAGGCCCGCGUUGUCUCGUGUCGGCCCAAGAGAAGAUCACACCCUUCGUGCGAUCCCAUCCCAUGCGCCGCCCCCCGUGCGGCUGCUUGGAAUGCUUCCCCAGGACGAGCGAGACCACCCGCGUUUAAGCAUAUCAAUAAGCGGAGGAGAAGAAACUUACAAGGAUUUCCCUAGUAACGGCGAGCGAACCGGGACAUGCCCAGCAUGGGAAUUGGGCCGCUCUAUGGCGGCUCGAAUUGUAGUCUGAAGAAGCA
rnacentral:rRNA from 1 species